UUAGUCAAUGCUCGCAAGAGUGAACUAGCUAACUGAAAUCAAACUUGUGUCAAGUAUGAUAACGUAAGGGAAGAUAAUGACAUUACCUUACUAUUAGUGUUGUCCAAAACUGGUGCCAGAAGACUCGGUAAGGCCAGAGACGCAAACGUUAAUCGUCUUAAUCAGGCGUAAAGGGUGUGUAGGCAGCUUUAAAAUUUGUCUUUAUUACUUAAAUUCUUUUGCUUUUUAUAAUUAAAAAGUCUAAACUUAUUUAAUGUAGACUAAUUAAUUCGUUUUAGAUAUGAAUUUAUAAUCUAAUAUAACUAAAAUUGCUUUAGUUAAAAAAAGAAUAAACUGAUAAUGAUAAAUUAUUUAGUUAUUAAGAAUUAAUUAAAGUAGAGAUAAAAUUAAUAAAAGCUAGAAUCAAAUAGAGGAUAUUUAAAUAAUACUUAGAGGAGGGGUGAUAUCCUUAGAUACUAAGUAGAAUAUUAAUGGUGAAAGCUUUUAUCUACUAAUGAUUGACGCUGAGAAACGAAGGUGAGGAUAGGAAAUAGGAUUAGAUACCCAGAUACCCCUCUCUGUCAACGAUGAAUGGUGGUUGCUAAUUAUAUAAAUUAAUUGGUGGCGAUGUUAACACGAUAACCAUUCCGCCAUGUGAGUACGACUGCAAAGUUGAAAACAAAAAAAUUAGUCGGUCUCGAAGCAAACGAAGUGAAGCAUGUUAUUUAAU
rnacentral:rRNA from 1 species